CUCUUACUAGCCUAUGUGAUUAAAGGCAGUCAAUAAUAUUUAUAAUUAUCGAAAGGGUAUAUAUAAGUAGACGUUCAGGGUGAAUGUCGAUUGAUUAUUAGGAUACUAAAAUAGUGUCUCUACGCGUGUAGAUUCAAAUGACGAGACUGUGAAACUUAGGAAAGGAAAGGCUUUGUUAGGUGACAGUUAGAGAAUUACUUGGCCAAGUGGGAAGCGAGUUGAGCUAAGCAAGAGGAAGAUGGCCAGUCCUAGGUGCUCAGUUCGUUAGGCUGUCUACAUCCCCCUCUCUAUUUCGUUAGAUUACUUUACCAGCUCAGCUAGAGGACGCUUUGGAUAUAGUCAGUGGGGAGUAAGUAUGUUAGUAUGGACCGUUGUAAACAGUACCUUUGAGAUGUUUUAUAUAAUUCCAAGUCGGAAUUAUGGUUGAUGCUAUUUAUUAAGAGUUUGUAAUAAGUUUUUAACUUAUUAUUUUGGUUAGUAGUUGUAACUUGUUUCACACCAUCACCUGUUAAAGAUCCUUGUGGUGUAAAGGGGUUGAGUAUUUAUAUUGCUAAAUCCAGGUUGUGCAUGUUAAAGUUGAUUUGUGACUCCUCAAUCUAGACCCCGGAUUGGGAGGGCGUCACAGUUGGUAUCAGAGCUACAGGUUUUGGUCCCUGAAACAAGUUAUAAUAGGCAGGCCUUAGGAGAACCACAUAAGUUAAUUGUGCGUUCCCAACCCAUAUAGGGUUUAGUUGAGAUUAUUGGAUAUAGUCUUAACGAGUUAAGUUUAUAAGAGUAGAAUAGCGUGUCUGAGUUAGAGUCGAAGACGUUUAGAUGAGCGUCAUUGACUUGUGAUGCCAAGGCUAGGCUUAUAAGGUGUAUAAGUUGGCCAGGUGGAUGGAAUAUGUGACUUGUAGUUGUUGUAUCUCUAUACCAGUAGGAUUGGAGUCACUUGAGUUGGUGCCGAGUCAUCAAGAUGACCCAUAUUAUCCUAGAUUUGUUUUGCUGGUUGUAGUAGGUUUGCAGCUGGUGACACUUAUGGAAUAUUUCUCAGUUUUUCCCCUUAUUUGAUCAUGUAGCCACAUUAUUGUGUUGUCUUUCAUUUCAAACUUGUUUUUGUAACCCUGAUUAUCGUUAUAACUACCUAUGCAUUUCUUUUCAUAACAUUGUUGCACCAUACUGUUCCUUUCACAUCAGUUUCAAAUAAUACCUAUGCUUAAUACCUAUGUUCAGAAUAAUACCCUGAACUCUUACCCUAUGAUUUCUAUGAUAUGGCGAGCAACUUAUGUGGUAAUAGAGCUGCAUGUGCUAAAAGUUUAAAAUGUUGGAAUUAUAUAUAUAAGGUGGAUAAGAAGAGAUUGUUUUAUGAUAUAUUGCCAUGUUAGCAUGUUGCCUAAUAGUAGGUUGCUUGUCUAUUCAUCAGAAAAAUGUCAACCACACCAACAAACCCAGAUGAGGGUAAUCAGAAUCAAGGUCGGGAUCAAGAAGACCCUACCAUGACUCAAAUUCUCCGUCUUCUUCAGCUGCAAACCGCUGCUUUGAACCAGCAGCCCCAAGCUCCUCGAGUCGGAAGCUUUAAAGCUUUCCAAUCCCUCCACCCACCUGAAUUUAGGGGAACUACAGAUCCAAUUAAAGCGAAAACCUGGAUAAAGGAAAUGGAAAAAAGCUUUUGCUUUAACGGAGGUGGGUGAAAAUAAGAAAACGGAAUAUGCAAGUUUCUACCUGAAAGACGAGGCAAAUUUUUGGUGGGAGUCCACCAAGACCUUAGAAGGAAAUGGUAUUAUUACGUGGGAAAGGUUUACGGAGUUAUUUUUGGAAAAGUAUCUACCUCAAUACUUACAAGAUCAGUUGGAAUUUAAGUUUUUAGAAUUGAAACAGGAAGGUAUGACUGUGGCAGAAUAUGAGGCAAAGUUUUCAGAAUUGGCAAGGUUUGUGCCAGAAUAUGUGAAUACGGAACACAAAAAGGCAAAACGGUUUCAACAAGGACUUAAGUCAUGGAUACGUAGUCGAGUGGCAGUUUUUGAGCUUCAAACAUAUGCUGCAGUGGUUCAGAAGGCUAUGAUUGUGGAAGGUGAAAGUGAGAUGUCAAAAAGAGAGAACGAUAGUAAGAAAAGAAAAUUUGAAAGGUCUGAAGAAAGUCAAGGGCAAUCAAGUGGAAAGUCUAAAGGUAAAUUCAGGAAAGGUUCUGACAACCCAACCAAUAAAGGAUUUCAAGGAUCCAAGCCCGGAAAUGUUGGACAGAGUAACCGUUUCUCCGGUUAGAAUCAGCAACAGAAAGGUAAUAGACCUCCGGCCCCAGAAUGUAAGACUUGUGGGAGGAAGCAUUCUGGAAUCUGUAACAAGCCUAACAUCACAUGCUUCAAAUGUAACAAGAAGGGUCAUUAUUCUUCAGAAUGUACUAGUACUUCGGGCAAGAAGGGCGUGACAUGUUUUAAGUGUGGCAAGUUGGGCCAUAUGGCAAGAGAUUGCAAGGAGCCUGUUCAACAAGCAAAUGUUCUGAGGAUAGCUGGAUCACCAACACCGACACCUCCAGUACAACCAAGAGCCAGAACUUUUAAUAUGACGAUGAAAGAUGCUGUUCAGGACUCAGAUGUGGUUGCAGAAAAAUGUCAACCACACCAACAAACCCAGAUGAGGGUAAUCAGAAUCAAGGUCGGGAUCAAGAAGACCCUACCAUGACUCAAAUUCUCCGUCUUCUUCAGCUGCAAACCGCUGCUUUGAACCAGCAGCCCCAAGCUCCUCGAGUCGGAAGCUUUAAAGCUUUCCAAUCCCUCCACCCACCUGAAUUUAGGGGAACUACAGAUCCAAUUAAAGCGAAAACCUGGAUAAAGGAAACAGAAAAAAGCUUUUGCUUUAACGGAGGUGGGUGAAAAUAAGAAAACGGAAUAUGCAAGUUUCUACCUGAAAGACGAGGCAAAUUUUUGGUGGGAGUCCACCAAGACCUUAGAAGGAAAUGGUAUUAUUACGUGGGAAAGGUUUACGGAGUUAUUUUUGGAAAAGUAUCUACCUCAAUACUUACAAGAUCAGUUGGAAGUUAAGUUUUUAGAAUUGAAACAGGAAGGUAUGACUGUGGCAGAAUAUGAGGCAAAGUUUUCAGAAUUGGCAAGGUUUGUGCCAGAAUAUGUGAAUACGGAACACAAAAAGGCAAAACGGUUUCAACAAGGACUUAAGUCAUGGAUACGUAGUCGAGUGGCAGUUUUUGAGCUUCAAACAUAUGCUGCAGUGGUUCAGAAGGCUAUGAUUGUGGAAGGUGAAAGUGAGAUGUCAAAAAGAGAGAACGAUAGUAAGAAAAGAAAAUUUGAAAGGUCUGAAGAAAGUCAAGGGCAAUCAAGUGGAAAGUCUAAAGGUAAAUUCAGGAAAGGUUCUGACAACCCAACCAAUAAAGGAUUUCAAGGAUCCAAGCCCGGAAAUGUUGGACAGAGUAACCGUUUCUCCGGUCAGAAUCAGCAACAGAAAGGUAAUAGACCUCCAAGUCAGUGGGGAGUAAGUAUGAUAGUAUGGACCGUUGUAAACAGUACCUUUGAGAUGUUUUAUAUAAUUCCAAGUCGGAAUUAUGGUUGAUGCUAUUUAUUAAGAGUUUGUAAUAAGUUUUUAACUUAUUAUUUUGGUUAGUAGUUGUAACUUGUUUCACACCAUCACUUGUUAAAGAUCCUUGUGGUGUAAAGGGGUUGAGUAUUUAUAUUGCUAAAUCCAGGUUGUGCAUGUUAAAGUUGAUUUGUGACUCCUCAAUCUAGACCCCGGAUUGGGAGGGCGUCACAAUUAUAAUACUAUAAUAAUGACGGAAUUAAAGUGUGUAAAGUAUAUUUGCAUUAAGUCUGUCUAGCAAGUACACAAACC